AUAAGUGUAUAAGGCAGGAAACAGAUUGGUACCGCAAAAUGCAUAUUCGGUCUUCGCCGUUCAUAAACUUUCUAACCAGACAUCGUUCGGGGAUUUUGUUUAUACUGAUAAAUAGAGCAAGGUUUUUACAAGCUUCGUUAGCAACAUUUUUGUGGAAUUCGUUUUUUAUGACAUUUUGUGCCGCGGCGAAGGAUGCGAAGUAUGCAAAUCUAGACGGAAUGGAUCUACUUGGAAAGUACGUGUACUGCACUAAUGAGAGUGUUUCUAAAAGCCAGAAUUUUAAAGGGGAGGGCGGUCGUUUUUUUUCUCAAGAAUAAUUAUAGAAAUAAGCUAUAAACUGGUAUAUUUUGUAAAGUUUGACAUAAUUACAAAUAAAUGUAUGCCUAAGUGAC